UUCAAUGGGUGGAGAGAAGAGAACACAGAACAGAGCUGCGGAUCAACUCUCAAAAUUCAACAUGGCUCAGAACGUUUCCUUUGUAUAUCAUCAUUUUGUUCCCCAUGUAUUAACAAACAUCCUCCAUGAGGAUUUCUGUAAUUCACGAUCAUAAGGUUAAUAUAUAAGAUGUUACAAAAAAAAAAAAAAAUUGCGUUUAGUUAGUGACAAAAGUCUUUAAUCGGUUUAGUCGGUUUAGUCACUUGGUUAAAUUACAUAUGUCUUUAUCUCGGUUGGUACGACACAAUCGUACAUGUAAGGAUUUGAUGGUUCACGAAACCUAAUCAAUCAAAAUUGAUUUCAUCGUCUUCUCUAUCUCUUUCUCUCUUCAUCGUCAUUCAUCAUGAUCAUGAUCAUCAUUCAUCAUCAUCCUCAUGAUCAUCAUCAUCAAAUCUUAGGAUCUUCAAGGUGGUUUUUCUCGUUCGUAGCUACCUUCUAGACUGUGAUUUCCAAUCUUCGAACUCUCGAUCGAGGAUUGCAAGAGCUGCUGAGUCCACGAGUUCUUCCCCAUCAGUAGCUUCCGGUGAUAGAGCCCUAAUCCAUGAUGAUGAAUUCACUCAAGCCAAGGUUAUAUUGUUGUCAACCUAGCAAAUCCCCAAUUAAGAGUUUCUUCAAAUUCAGUGUGUCAAUAUAAUCGAGCAAUUAGUGAAGUAGGCGAGAUUGUGUUAGUGAAUCCUAUUUUCACGUUUUACUUAGGAAGAUAAAUCUUCACCUUCGAUCAAUUCAUGUCGUUUUCUUCUUAUCUUUCAUCAAGUUUUGGGCAAGCAUGGAAAUCUAAGAUUUAUUCUUUCAGGACUAGCAUAGAAAUUUUCGAUUGGUGCUCGAAAUGCUAAGGAACAUGCAUCUGCCCAGAAAUUCCUGCACCAAUGCUUGGAGGUACGUUAACAAGCCCGUGUAUGGGUCACUUCAUUGGCUCACGGACUGUGAAUAAACCAAGGUAUUCUCUGCUUUAUCAACUUAAUUUUUCUCUUCUUUUCUUUGUAGCAAUGAACUAUUCUAAUUCAAUAUUACCGGCACUCUAAUUUAAGGAUGAGUUUCUUCUCAUCAGAGUGGGCUUCUUGUUGUAUUCAAAUUUCUUUGUUUUUCUUUUGCUAUUAUAAGAUACCUAUAAUACAUGUACCACAGAGAGGUUCAACGCAUAAAACCAAGCUAAUGAAGGGUUCAAAUCAGAAGGUCCCGCGACAUACCAAUCAUUUCUAACUCAAAACAAUUGAGAGCCAAUUUUGUUGUUUCGUUACUCCUUUUUUUUGGCUUCUACGGAUAGGAGAUACGUGGUAGUGGCAGUUUUAUAUAAAUUGGAACAAAGUGUUUCUCUCUUGCAGCUGAAACAGAGAUGCUUAAUGGUUUCACUUUUGUCUCAUGUAAA